rnacentral:rRNA from 1 species
GAUGAACGCUGGCGGAGGGAAGAAUACAGGCAAGUCGAGCGAACAGACGAGGAGCUUGCUCCUCUGACGUUAGCGGCGGACGGGUGAGUAACACGUGGAUAACCUACCUAUAAGACUGGGAUAAAUUCGGGAAACCGGAGCUAAUACCGGAUAAUAUAUUGAACCGCAUGGUUCAAUAGUGAAAGACGGUUUUGCUGUCACUUAUAGAUGGAUCCGCGCCGCAUUAGCUAGUUGGUAAGGUAACGGCUUACCAAGGCAACGAUGCGUAGCCGACCUGAGAGGGUGAUCGGCCACACUGGAACUGAGACACGGUCCAGACUCCUACGGGAGGCAGCAGUAGGGAAUCUUCCGCAAUGGGCGAAAGCCUGACGGAGCAACGCCGCGUGAGUGAUGAAGGUCUUCGGAUCGUAAAACUCUGUUAUUAGGGAAGAACAAAUGUGUAAGUAACUAUGCACGUCUUGACGGUACCUAAUCAGAAAGCCCCGGCUCCCUACGUC